UCAGUCUGUAAAUCGACCUCAAACAAAUUGCAACAGAAAAUAUUUUACCUGGUAUAGAAAGUAUAUGGAAUAACAUGAAUCAUAUCAAAAGUCUAGCAAAAUCUAAGUUGCGCAACAUAGAAAAAACGGGUUUUUAUCACGUUAUUUUUUGUGAUUUUUUUCUGACGACAACAGUCUUCCAUAGGCGAACAAAGCGUCUCCAAUACUCAGAAAAGCGACUGCAUAAUGGCGACAACAACAACAAAAUUAGUGUAAACAAAAUAAAUGUCAGUAAAGUACACUGUAAAGUGGGUUGGUAUAUUUUCCUUAAAAUAUUACAGAUCAUAAUAGGAAUUAUUAAUGUGGGGUCGGGUACCGCUUUGAGGUAGUCUUCAUUGAUGUAUGCUUGAUUUUGAAAAUAAAAAAAAAUCCAGUAAACUAUAUGUACACUAAAUGAAUUUCAUCAACACACAAGAGCCAAUGGGUAUGCCCGAUCUUGAAAGUGUUCUGAGGACACUGUGAUGUAUACGAGUUAAAGAUGAACUCCUGUCGGAUUUGUUAACGGCUGUUUGAUGAUCAUACAAAGACAGUUAAAGGCAACGAAAAGGAAUGCAAGGGAAUAAAUACUGCCAGUGAGAAAUAAAAUGACAGUUUAAAAGUUGAAUCGGAAUAAUAUAUUCACCAUGUUCACAUUGAGUGUAGAAAGAUGUACUGUAACCAACAUUACACUAAAAGAGACACUAGACAGAAAAGAAAACACUGAUGCCACCAUUGAGAUCAAUGACUGAUAAGUUUUCAUACAAAAAAAAUUGUUUAUAUUGUGGUCAAUCUUUAAUAAGUAAGGGUAAAACAAGGAAGUGUGAUGUUUCGCCAGUAAGGACACUAGAACCUACUGUUUUGAAUAUAUGUAUACAGAGGAAUGACUGUUUGUCUGAUACAGUCAGAGCAAGGAUAGAACAGGUUCACAACUUGCUUGUAGCCGAUGCUCUUUACCAUCAAACAUGUUUAUGCUCCUCUAAUUUCAGAACUGGAAAAGAUAUACCAGAAGAAUUUCAGGUGCUACCAUCUAGUGAUAAAAAGUGAAAGAUUGGUCGACCAGAAAUUAUAGAAGCGAGUGACGCUUUGUAAAAGUCAUGACAUUCUUGUGCUUAUGCUUAGCGAAGCUUUUUUACAAAUCAAAAUUUGCAAAUAUUUUUUUUUACAUUUUAUGCUCAAAUGUAUCAAAUAUUUGAAAUUGACCUUCCAAAAGGUCAAUGUCACCUCUUUUGACCCAAUGUCAUGAUGUUACGUAAUGACUCAGAAAAAAAUACAACAGAUGUGCUUGAAAGUAUUCAGAUUAAUAUAAAACUCAAUAUUAUUAUCAUAGAUAAUAUAGAUUUCCUUAAUGUUUCUCUAUUUUGUAUAAAAUUACCCCACCCACUAGCUGUACAAUGUUAAUAUAAAUAUUUCAAUAUAUGCAUUAAAUAUUGAUGGAAUGUAAAUUAAAUUCAUAAAACGUUGAAACUUGACAGUUUUCACAUGUACGUAAACCAUUAUGUAUUUUCUGUUUAAUAUCAUAUAACAUAGAGCUUUCAAUAAAUUGUUGAUCUACAGCAAUGUAAAAAUAUAAUAUUACCCCACCCACUUAAGUUAAUUAAUAAAUUUUAGAAAGGUAAAAGUAGUUUCUUUAAACAAAAACAACUUUUUGAUUACUUUAUGUUACUAUAGGGAUAGAUUAAGCUAUAUUUUUAUGCAUAUUAUAUAUAAAACUGAUUGGAAAAUUGUAUGUGUGUAUUACAUUGAGUUCAAAUUAAAAAAAUAAAUACAAUGAUACCCAUAUAUUUGAUCUCAAUUUUUGAAAACAUUCUCCAAUUUAGAUUUUUCUAGACUUUUGAUAUGUUAUACAAUAUAGGUCUUGGGUUUCAAAACACUCAAAAUAUUUUCUGUUGCAAUUUGUUUGAGGUUUGGCUCUAUUUUGAGCUAGAAUGACUG